UAAAGCUGCACAAAACAAAUGAGGUGGCUGUUUUUAGUCUGUGACCACAGCUGUGCCAACCAGAACUGAGGGCAAGGCCAGGAGAAUGAAUGAGACGCACCCACAGUACACUUGUCCUCUGGAGUACACCUGCAGAUGGUGGCAGGGAGAGCUCAGGUGUGGGCGGAGCAUGGCCAUCCUACCACGUCCAGAAGGCGGAGCUCCGAGAGCUCAGCUGUGAGCUGAGCAUGGCCACCCUACCACGUCCGGGAGGCGGAGAUUGGAGAGAGCUCAGGUGUGGGCAGAGCAUAUCACCCUACCACCUCCAGGAGUGGGAGAUCAGAGAGAGCUCAGGUGUGGGCGGAGCAUGGCCAUCCUACCACCUCCAGGAGGGGGAGAUCGGAGUGGGUGCAGGAUGGGAGCUCUCCACAGAUCCACACCAGCAGCGAAUCAAUCCAAGCCUGCCCAUGUCACGAUGACCCAGCAGUGCCUGUGCUACCUGCUAAAACAAGAGCUGGAAAGCUUCAGAGGAAGGUAAAAAGCUGAGCAAACUGAAAAAUCAGCAGUUCUUCUUAAACCUGCAAGAGACGUGAGGUCACAGGCAAGCCACUGUCCCCAGAUUGGCUGGACAGGUAAAGCGGAGAAUCACAGUACACUGGAGCACAAUGCUCCAAGGAACCCAUGCUGGGAUUGGAAUACCUGAACUGGAAUUGACAAAUUGCUGCAGUGAGGUGUGGCCACAUCUGAGAGUUGAAACCUCCAGGAGGCCUGUGCAUAUGGGUCUCAUGCUUUUGUGAGUUGUGUCAUCAGAAGCUCAACCAGGUUCUCGAAGUAAACAUCAGAGAAAAAUCCCCUCAUAUUUACUACAGGGGAAAGAGAAUAGGAAUCAUUUUUCAAUAUGGAGGUGCACUCUUCACUAGGUCUACGUUCCAGAGAAGCUAGCUAACUAGAGACUAACCUGGUGGGAUUUUAUCAGAGCCUUCUGACCUGGUGGAAAGGGAAAUACCCAACUCCAACCUCCAGAACUGAAAAGCAAAAAAGAACAGAGUAUCCAAGCACUAUGGGACAUCCACCGAGGCAUAAAAUAUGCAUAACGGUAAUGUAAGGGGGAAGAAAGAGGAACAGAAGAAAUAUUUGUAACAGUAAUAGCUGCAUUUCCUCAGAUUAAAGCCAGACACCAAACCAUAGAUCCAGGAAGCUCAAAAAACACCAAGAAGGAUAAAUGUAAAAACGACGACAACAAAAACAAAACAAAAAUAAACUCUACUUGGGCAUAAAAUAUUCAAACUAUGGUGACUCAAAGAUUAAAAACCAAAGAAACCAGAGUAAUCUCCUUCCCUAUGGAGGAUCAAAGAUAAGAAUUAUAUUCAUCUUCCCCUCAAAAACCAUGAAAGCAAGAAGUGGAGUGAAGUAUUUGAACUAUUGAGAGGAAAAAAAUUCUAUUAACCUAGAAGUCUAUUCUCUGUGAAAUUAUCUUUCAAAAGUGAAGAAAAAGUAAAGACCUUCUCUGACAAAAAUUGCAAAAUUUGUUGCCGGUAGACCUGCCUUGCAAAAAAAUGUUCAAAGUUCUUUAGAGAAAAUAGUAGAGGUCAGUAACUCAGCUGUGCACAAAGAAAGGAAGAGCACAGUCUGUUUACAGGGCUCACACCUGUCAUCCUAACACUCUGGGAGGCAAAGAUCGGAAAACAGCUGGAAGCUGCUUAGUUGAGACCAGCCUGGGCAAUGUAGUGAGACUGUCUCAUUAAAAAGAAGCCAAACGUGGUGGCCGACACCUAUAGUGCCAGCUACUUUGAGAGGCUGAGAUGGGUCACUUCUUGAGCCCAGGAUCCCGUUCAAGGCUGCGGUGAGCUAUAAUGAUGCUACUCCACUCCAGCCUGGGCAACAGAGAAAGACCUUGUCUGUUUAAAAAAAAAAAAAAUAGAAAAACAAAAAGCAUUAAAGAAGAAAUAGUGAAGGUAGAAGAAAAUCUUUCAUUUUUCUUAAUAGAUCUAACAUAACAGUUCAUUCAUAAUAGCGACAGUAAAUAUACUGUAUUAUAUGCUUAUGUAUAUGUCAUAUACACACACUUAAAUAUAAGUGAAAUGAAUGAGAGCAGUAAUACCCAAGGGAUGGGAGGGAGCAAUUAGGAAUUAGGAUUAUUUUGUUAUUAUAGUGUGCUUGCAUUAUCAAGAAACCAGUGUAGUGUCGUUUGAAAGUGGACUUGGGUUACUUGUAAAUUUAUAUUGCAAAUUCCAAGGCAGCCACUUUAAAAAAAAA